rnacentral:rRNA from 1 species
CCUAACACAUGCAAGUCGAACGGCAGCACAGCAGAGCUUGCUCUGUGGGUGGCGAGUGGCGGACGGGUGAGUAAUGCAUCGGGACCUACCCAGACGUGGGGGAUAACGUAGGGAAACUUACGCUAAUACCGCAUACGUCCUACGGGAGAAAGCAGGGGACCUUCGGGCCUUGCGCGGUUGGACGGACCGAUGUGCGAUUAGCUAGUUGGUAGGGUAAUGGCCUACCAAGGCGACGAUCGCUAGCUGGUCUGAGAGGAUGAUCAGCCACACUGGGACUGAGACACGGCCCAGACUCCUACGGGAGGCAGCAGUGGGGAAUAUUGGACAAUGGGCGCAAGCCUGAUCCAGCAAUGCCGCGUGUGUGAAGAAGGCCCUCGGGUUGUAAAGCACUUUUAUCAGGAACGAAAUACCACGGGUUAAUACCCUAUGGGGCUGACGGUACCUGAGGAAUAAGCACCGGCUAACUUCGUGCCAGCAGCCGCGGUAAUACGAAGGGUGCAAGCGUUAAUCGGAAUUACUGGGCGUAAAGGGUGCGUAGGCGGUUCGUUAAGUCUGUCGUGAAAUCCCCGGGCUCAACCUGGGAAUGGCGAUGGAUACUGGCGAGCUAGAGUGUGUCAGAGGAUGGUGGAAUUCCCGGUGUAGCGGUGAAAUGCGUAGAGAUCGGGAGGAACAUCAGUGGCGAAGGCGGUUCUCUGGGCAUUACCUGACGCUGAGGAGCGAAAGUGUGGGGAGCGAACAGGAUUAGAUACCCUGGUAGUCCACACCGUAAACGUUGGGCGCUAGGUGUGGGACUCAUUCCACGAGUUCCGUGCCGCAGCUAACGCAUUAAGCGCCCCGCCUGGGGAGUACGGCCGCAMGGCUAAA